rnacentral:rRNA from 1 species
UGGGGAAUUUUGGACAAUGGGGGAAACCCUGAUCCAGCCAUCCCGCGUGUGCGAUGAAGGCCUUCGGGUUGUAAAGCACUUUUGGCAGGAAAGAAACGUCGCGGGUUAAUACCCCGCGGAACUGACGGUACCUGCAGAAUAAGCACCGGCUAACUACGUGCCAGCAGCCGCGGUAAUACGUAGGGUGCAAGCGUUAAUCGGAAUUACUGGGCGUAAAGCGUGCGCAGGCGGUUCGGAAAGAAAGAUGUGAAAUCCCAGAGCUUAACUUUGGAACUGCAUUUUUAACUACCGGGCUAGAGUGUGUCAGAGGGAGGUGGAAUUCCGCGUGUAGCAGUGAAAUGCGUAGAUAUGCGGAGGAACACCGAUGGCGAAGGCAGCCUCCUGGGAUAACACUGACGCUCAUGCACGAAAGCGUGGGGAGCAAACAGGAUUAGAUACCCUGGUAGUCCACGUCCUAAACGAUGUCAACUAGCUGUUGGGGUCUUCGGACCUUGGUAGCGCAGCUAACGCGUGAAGUUGACCGCCUGGGGAGUACGGUCGCAAGAUUAAAACUCAAAUGAAUUGACGGGGUCGAUANCUGUUUCCU